CUGGGCUUGACAUGUUGGUGACCGCCGUGGAAACACGGUUUUCCUUCGGGACACCAUCACAGGUGGUGCAUGGCUGUCGUCAGCUCGUGUCGUGAGAUGUUGGGUUAAGUCCCGCAACGAGCGCAACCCCCGUUCCAUGUUGCCAGCAUUUAGUUGGGGACUCAUGGGAGACUGCCGGUGACAAACCGGAGGAAGGUGGGGAUGACGUCAAGUCAUCAUGCCCCUUAUGUCCAGGGCUACACACGUGCUACAUUGGCGCAUACAAAGGGCAGCAAUACCGCGAGGUGGAGCAAAUCCCAUAAAGUGCGCCUCGGUUCGGAUUGGAGGCUGAAACUCGCCUCCAUGAAGGUGGAGUUGCUAGUAAUCGCGGAUCAGCAAUGCCGCGGUGAAUACGUUCCCGGGCCUUGUACACACCGCCCGUCACACCACGAAAGCGAGCAACACCCGAAGCCGGUGGCCUAACCGCAAGGAGGGAGCCGUCGAAGGUGGGGCCCGUGAUUGGGGUG
rnacentral:rRNA from 1 species